rnacentral:misc_RNA from 1 species
GAUGAAGAACGUAGCGAAAUGCGAUAAGUAAUGUGAAUUGCAGAAUUCAGUGAAUCAUCGAAUCUUUGAACGCACAUUGCGCCCGCCAGUAUUCUGGCGGGCAUGCCUGUUCGAGCGUCAUUUCAACCAUCAAGCCCCAGGCUUGUGUUGGUGACCUGCGGCUGCCGCAGGCCCUGAAAACCAGUGGCGGGCUCGCUGUCACACCGGGCGUAGUAGAUUUUAUCUCGCUCAGGGCGUGCUGCGGGUUCCGGCCGUUAAAAAGCCUUUUUUACCCAAGGUUGACCUCGGAUCAGGUAGGAAGACCCGCUGAACUUAAGCAUAUCAAUAAGCGGAGGA